rnacentral:lncRNA from 1 species
GUGUUAAAUUGUCUUUGGGAAAUUGCAAACUUCUUUUGAUGAUCUCAGCUUCUUGCUGAAGCAAACAGCCAUAUUAAAAAUAUUCUUCUGUAGGAUUUUAUAUAUAAGACUCAUAUAUUACUACAAUUUCUAAAGACUUAAAGUGUAAAAUUAUCUCCAUAGCAGUGGAUGCAUCAUGCAUAUGAACAAACUUCAGCACAUUACAAAAGGGAACUACAUGGGAGACAUGUGAAAGACAUUAUCAAAGAAAUACACAUUAAUGAAGAUGAACCAGUCCUGUAGGGAUAGCUGUAACUAGCUCAUGUGCUCUGUUGAUGUUAGAGAAAACAAGUCAAUCUUCUCAGCUCUGACUUUGACAUCUUUGUGGAGGAGGAGAUGUUAGAAACUUCCAAAUUCCAGCUUCAUCAAGAUGUAAAACAGAUAAAGGGAAUGGAAAUUGUAUUGAAGAUGACUGGCAAUUCAUUCAGGAGGAAGUGUCACUUCAGUAGGGAUAGAAGACACAGGAAAAUGAUAUCUCCUUUUUAAGACAGCCUUGUUAGGAAACAGCUGGUACCAACUUUUCUUUUGAUUUUCACCUAUGAGAAGGAAAUCUAGACUUGUGAAGUACUUAUACAGAAUGGAUCUGAGAUGAAAAGUAAAAUAUUUUGCAUUCCUUGUAAGUUAACUUCCUAAAAGAAUAAAUCAUGUGUUGGGCUAUUGUUUUAUCUUCUA